rfam:Mucispirillum schaedleri ASF457 genomic scaffold acYAd-supercont1.2, whole genome shotgun sequence.
GGGGAUAUAGCUCAGCUGGGAGAGCACUUGCCUUGCAAGCAGGGGGUCAGCGGUUCGAUCCCGCUUAUCUCCA